rnacentral:lncRNA from 1 species
AUGAAUCCUAGGAUAAAGUAGAAACAAGGAGGAAUCAAAGAGAAUGUAAAGAACAGUUUCUCCCCAAGAAGAACUCUGAAGAUGAUUCAUCCUUCCAAGCCAGAUCUCUUGUCGGAAAAAAAAAAAAAAAAAGUGACUGGCCCAAAGCAUAUCCAAGAGGAAGCAUUGGAAUGACCAGUUGACAGCCAGGACUUCCCACUCUAGAGUUGUCAUUGUCCCAGAAUAGAGUGACAAUUAAAAUCUUGGAGGAGUCACCCAAGAAGCAUUUGAUCUUAGGAUUAAAUGAAAUUUAUCCCCUCAAUAUUGGAGAGAAGUAGCAGAACAAAGGAACACCCUCUAUGAAACACUUAAGGAAAAUGAGAAGCUUCACAGAGAAAUUGAAGAAAGAACAAUGAAAUUGACCACUUGGAAAAGGAGAGUAAACAACUGGCAAAAGCGGCAGAGUACAGUAUAUGACAGAGGCAACCCAGAGACUGAAUGAUGAACCUCUGGAUAACUCUGAAGCACCAGAUAGUCAGGAAUUUGAUUCUGAAGAGAAAACUGGUGAAGAUUCUCAAGUGGAAAACCCAAAAAUUGGCACAUGCACUGAGAAUCCUGUCUUCCU